AUACUUACCUGACGUAGGGAUACCGUGAUCAUGCAGGCGGUUCCCUCAGGGUGAGGUUGUUCCAUUGCAUUGCGGAGUGAUUGACCCUUGCGAUUAUUUUUAUUUUUUAUAAGUUUCACUUCUACCGUGUGUGUGACUUGCACACACACACA
rnacentral:snRNA from 9 species